rnacentral:piRNA from 1 species
UUUUCUUUUUUGAAUCACCUU